GUAGGUGAACCUGCGGAAGGAUCAUUAACAAAAAAUGAAGUAAUAACUAACAGAACUCUUAUACUAGCUUCCGGGCUAGUAUCUUUUAUACUAAUCAUAGUAAACUCAUAAACCAAUACAAGGUUGAUAAAAUCUAAAAUUUUCAACGAUGGAUGUCUUGGCUCCCAUAUCGAUGAAGAACGCAGCAAGAAUGCGAUAUGCAAUGUGAAUUGCAGAACCACGAAUCAUUGGAUAUUUGAACGUAACUGACGCUAGAAAUAGCAUACUUGUUUCAGUGUGCUUAAACAACUAUUACAACCUAAAUGUGGGAGAACCUCUCCCAUGAAAUGCAUGCUCCUUGCAGCAGUCACAUUUAUGUGAAGCCGCAAAGUGUAAUAAAACAUAUUCGCACCUGAAAUCAAGUAAGAUGACCCGCUGGACUUAAGCAUAUUAUUAAGCGGAGGAAAAGAAAUUAACUAAGAUUGCCUUAGUAAGGGCGACUGAACCGGCAAAAGCUCAAAAUUAAAAUCGAAAAUUCAAAGAAUUUUCGAAUUGUAAUCAGGAUAACCUAAAUACGAAAUAUUGCUCAAUCAUGUCGAAACAUGAGCCAAAGAGGGUGAAAGCCCCGUACAGCAUUAUCUCGAACAAGGUAAUCCCAAAAAGAGUCGGGUUGCUUGGAACUGCAGCCCUAAACGGGAGAUAUGAAUCUUCCAAAGCUAAAUAUAGAUGGGAGACCGAUAGCGAACAAGUACUGUGAAGGAAAGAUGAAAAGGACUUUGAAAAGAGAGUGAAAAGAUCUGAAAUCGUUGAGAAGGAAGCGGUAAAAACUGACGGUCGCCAUGAAAGACUACGUAAUAACCUUACGUAAAUCUUCUCAAAGCGACGGGCAAAAUCAAGUCAGAAGCAUCAAAAAAGGCAACCCCGAUUAAGAUACUUCUGGCUUGAGGGACUAUUGUGAUUUUGCCAAAAUGGUUUUUACUGUCCCGUCUUGAAACACGGACCAAGGAGUCUAACAUAUAUGCGAGUGUUCGAGUGUAAAAACUCAUACGCAAAAUGAAAGUAAAAGGUGCGCAGCGCAAGCAACAGCAUCGACCGACCUAGUAAGAAAGGUUUGAGUAUUAGCAUAUCUGUUAGGACCCGAAAGAUGGUGAACUAUGCCUGAGUAGGGUGAAGUCAGGGGAAACCCUGAUGGAGGCUCGUAGCGUUGUUGACGUGCAAAUCACUCGUCAAACUUGGGUAUAGGGGCGAAAGACUAAUCGAACCAUCUAGUAGCUGGUUCCCUCCGAAGUUUCCCUCAGGAUAGC
rnacentral:rRNA from 1 species